UAGAUGCGAGAGUAGAGCAUAUCAAUAAGCGGAGGAAAAGAAACUAACUAGGAUUCCCUCAGUAACGGCGAGUGAAGCGGGAAGAGCUCAAAUUUGAAAUCUUCAAGGUUUUACCUUGACGAAUUGUAGUUUAAAGAAGUGUUUUCUGUUGAAGUUUUGGUAAAAGUUCUUUGGAAUAGGACAUCAUAGAGGGUGAGAAUCCCGUAUUUGACCAUUUCUUUCAGCUUUGUGAUACACUUUCAAAGAGUCGGAUUGUUUGGGAAUGCAGUCCAAAAUGGGUGGUAAAUUUCAUCUAAAGCUAAAUAUUGGCGAGAGACCGAUAGCGAACAAGUACCGUGAGGGAAAGAUGAAAAGAACUUUGAAAAGAGAGUUAAACAGUACGUGAAAUUGUCAAAAGGGAAGCGUUUGACACCAGUGUUGUUUUUCCGAAAAUCAAUUACGAAUGUUUUGUUUUUGAGGAGUUAUGACUUCAUCGGCUUGCUCCUUUCUUUACGAAACUUUCUUAAUGCACUUUUCGGUUAACAAGUCAACAUCAAUUUCUUUUGUUGUAAAAGGGUAUGAGGAAGGUGGCUUUCUUUUCGGAGAAAGUGUUUAUAGCCUUGUGCCUCUGCAAUCGGAGAGAUUGAGGUCUGCAGCGUAGAUCCUUCGGGGUUAGAUACAGUUUGUGCUAAGUUAUAGCUUUUUCAUAGACAACAUUGUUGACUAUGAUUAAGUCAUUGUAGCUUACUCGCUUAUGCUAUUUUACCUACGCUUAGGAUGUUGACACACGCGCGUGCUCG
rnacentral:rRNA from 1 species